rnacentral:rRNA from 1 species
ACGGGUGAGUAAUGUCUGGGGAUCUGCCCGAUAGAGGGGGAUAACCACUGGAAACGGUGGCUAAUACCGCAUAACGUCGCAAGACCAAAGAGGGGGACCUUCGGGCCUCUCACUAUCGGAUGAACCCAGAUGGGAUUAGCUAGUAGGCGGGGUAACGGCCCACCUAGGCGACGAUCCCUAGCUGGUCUGAGAGGAUGACCAGCCACACUGGAACUGAGACACGGUCCAGACUCCUACGGGAGGCAGCAGUGGGGAAUAUUGCACAAUGGGCGCAAGCCUGAUGCAGCCAUGCCGCGUGCAUGAAGAAGGCCUUCGGGUUGUAAAGUACUUUCAGCGGGGAGGAAGGCGAUGUGGUUAAUAACCGCAUUGAUUGACGUUACCCGCAGAAGAAGCACCGGCUAACUCCGUGCCAGCAGCCGCGGUAAUACGGAGGGUGCAAGCGUUAAUCGGAAUUACUGGGCGUAAAGCGCACGCAGGCGGUCUGUUAAGUCAGAUGUGAAAUCCCCGGGCUUAACCUGGGAACUGCAUUUGAAACUGGCAGGCUUGAGUCUCGUAGAGGGGGGUAGAAUUCCA